ensembl:rRNA 5S_rRNA 5S ribosomal RNA
GCCUACGGCCAUACUACCCUGAACACACCUGCUCUCGUUUUAUCUCGGAAGUUAAGCAGGGCAGGGCUGGUUAGUAGUGGAUGGGAGACCGCCUGGGAAUACAGGGUGUUGUAGGCU